ensembl:lncRNA
UCUUGAAAUAAGGAGGCUGCUGCUCGUAGUUUGGGGGCUUCUGCUGGUGUUCAGGAAGCUGAUGCGGCUGGUAGCUAGAUACUAAAGAUCUAAUAAAAAGACUCCAUACUGAACUGUAACGUUGCAUUAGACCAAAGCAGCGGCUCCUGAAAAGGCAUCAAAAUAGGUUUCUGAAUUUGCUGCUGGCAUUCAGCCUAGCCAAUGACCAAUUUGACUAUUUAAAAGUGAUAUUUUUAUUCUUUUGUCAAAUUUGGACCGUAGAACCAUGUCAUGGCAGGAACACAAUUGAGAACUUUAUACCAUUGAAGGAUUUGAUGGAAUUUUCAAUGAAGCAAAGUUACAGAAUGCAAACUUCUCAACUUCUGAGUUGCUGCUGGGGCUUGUAGCUAGGAUGCUUGUAGCUUGGAUGCUGCGGCUGCGGCUGGGGCUUGUAGCUAGGAGGCUGCUGGGGCUUCUGCUGGGGCUUGUAAAUGGGAUGUUGCUGCUGCUGGGGGGCUUGUAAAUGGGAUGCUGCUGCUGCUGCUGCUGCUGGGGCUUGUAAAUGGGAUGUUGCUGCUGCUGGGGGCUUGUAGCUAGGAUGUUGCUGCUGCUGCUGCUUGUAGCUAGGAUGCUGCUGCUGCUGCUGCUGCUGGGGCUUGUAGCUAGGAUGCUGCUGCUGCUGGGGCUUGUAGCUAGGAUGUUGCUGCUGCUGGGGCUUGUAGCUAGGAUGUUGCUGCUGCUGCUGGGGCUUGUAGCUAGGCUGGGGCUUGUCUAGGAUGUUGCUGCUGCUGCUGGGGCUUGUAGCUAGGAUGUUGCUGCUGCUGGGGCUUGUCGCUAGGAUGCUGCUGCUGCUUUGUAGCUAGGAUGCUGCUGCUGCUGCUGGGGCUGUUGCUGGUCGUAGCUAGGCUCCUGUGGCUUGUAGCUAGAAGGCUCCUGGGGCUUGUAGCUAGAAGGCUGCUGCUGCUGCUGCUGGGGCUUGUAGCUAGGAUGUUGCUGCUGCUGCUGCCGCUGCUGGGGCUUGUAGCUAGGAUGUUGCUGCUGCUGCUGCUGCUGGGGCUUGUAGCUAGGAUGCUGCUGCUGCUGCUGCUGCUGCUGCUGGGGCUUGUAGCUAGGAUGUUGCUGCUGCUGCUGCUGGCUUGUAGCUGCUGCUGUUGCUGCUGCUGCUGGGGCUUGUAGCUAGGAUGUUGCUGCUGCUGCUGCUGCUUG